rnacentral:rRNA from 1 species
UCUGACCUCGGAUCAGGUAGGGAUACCCGCUGAACUUAAGCAUAUCAAUA